rnacentral:sRNA from 2 species
GGGUUCAAAUUUUUCGGCUGGAAAGCCCAAGACAAACCGUCAGCAUGGUUUUCGAUUUUUGAGCCCUCGUUCAACUUUAGCUUAAAACUGCACUCGGUAUCUUUCCCUGGUCCAGUUUAUCAAGUCAAAGGAGAUGCUGUUUGCAUGAGCUAUCAUCCUUUCCCCCUGUUAUGACUUACUGCUUGGUAUAAUAUUGUUAUCUGCUAUCCGAGUUUCAUGAAAAAGGGGCUGAAAUUACAAUGCAUCUGGUAGCUAGUUACUAGCAUUCCGGCAAGAAAUUGAAAAAAUGAAGUUCAGAAGAGAACACUCUAUAGGUGAUGACGGCAUUGCUAACAACCAUUGAAGUGGGAAUAAUGGAUUAUUCGUAGAAUACAUGAAUGAAAUACUAUAUGCAACAUAGGUAUUAUACGUAGGAGGAAAAGCGAACGCUGCUGGAAUGGGGGAAAUUAGGGAGUGACAACG